rnacentral:rRNA from 1 species
CGGGUGAGUAACGCGUGGGUAACCUACCUUAUACAGGGGGAUAACAGUCAGAAAUGGCUGCUAAUACCGCAUAAGCGCACAGAGCUGCAUGGCUCAGUGUGAAAAACUCCGGUGGUAUAAGAUGGACCCGCGUUGGAUUAGCUGGUUGGUGGGGUAACGGCCCACCAAGGCGACGAUGCGUAGCCGACCUGAGAGGGUGACCGGCCACACUGGGACUGAGACACGGCCCAG